UGCCAUUCAAUCGUUCACGACCCUGUCAGUGCCAAAUCCAAUAUAGUCAGGAUCACUAUCAAUUAGAUAACUAAAUUGCUAAAUCGAAGCAUAUGAACUUAUGCAGUAUAUUACAAAACAUUGCUUGAGAACGGCAAAAGCGAUGAAAACAUGCAACAAGUUGGAGAGAGGAGAUAAAUUUAAUAACAAUUGUCUUAUUACUCUCAUAUGGAGAGGAAAAGAAAGCAGCAAUGUACUUACCUUUAAAUCCGGAAGUUCAAUUA
rnacentral:misc_RNA from 1 species